AAUAUCCUUUUAACAAAUUAUGCGUAUUUAAGGAGAUAGGGCUGCGCAUGCGCAGAACGUAUCUCCUUACCUUUGCACUUUUUGGUAAGAAGAUGUUAUCGAAAGUUGUUCGCCUUGAUGAGGGCUACAACUUUGCUUAAUAUCCUUUUAACAAAUUAUGCGUAUUUAAGGAGAUAGGGCUGCGCAUGCGCAGAACGUAUCUCCUUACCUUUGCACUUUUUGGCAAGAAGAUGUU
rnacentral:miRNA from 1 species